CUACGGGAGGCAGCAGUGAGGAAUAUUGCACAAUGGAGGAAACUCUGAUGCAGCAACGCCGCGUGGAGGAUGACGCAUUUCGGUGUGUAAACUCCUUUUAUAUGUCAAGAAAAUGACGGUAGCAUAUGAAUAAGCUCCGGCUAACUCCGUGCCAGCAGCCGCGGUAAUACGGAGGGAGCAAGCGUUACUCGGAAUCACUGGGCGUAAAGGACGCGUAGGCGGGAUAGAAAGUCAGGUGUGAAAUCCUAUGGCUCAACCAUAGAACUGCACUUGAAACUUCUAACCUAGAGUAUGGGAGGGGAAGAUGGAAUUAGUGGUGUAGGGGUAAAAUCCGUAGAUAUCACUAGGAAUACCAAAAGCGAAGGCGAUCUUCUGGAACAAUACUGACGCUAAGGCGUGAAAGCGUGGGGAGCAAACAGGAUUAGAUACCCUCGUAGUC
rnacentral:rRNA from 1 species